rnacentral:rRNA from 1 species
UUCCGAACCCGGAAGUUAAGCUCUUCAGCGCCGAUGGUACUGCACUCGGGAGGGUGUGGGAGAGUAGGUCGCCGCCGGAC